rnacentral:rRNA from 1 species
CGCCACGCCCGCUCAAGAAACUCAAUGAAUUGACGGGGCCCGCACAAGCGGUGGAGUAUGUGGUUUAAUUCGAUGCAACGCGAAGAACCUUACCUGGUCUUGACAUCCCGGAGACCCUUAGGAAACUAGGGGGUGCUUCCAUCUGGAAGAAUCUGGAGACAGGUGCUGCAUGGCUGUCGUCAGCUCGUGUCGUGAGAUGUUGGGUUAAGUCCCGCAACGAGCGCAACCCUUGCCUUUAGUUGCCAGCAGUUCGGCUGGGCACUCUAAAGGGACUGCCGGUGUUAAACCGGAGGAAGGUGGGGAUGACGUCAAGUCCUCAUGGCCUUUAUGACCAGGGCUACACACGUACUACAAUGGCCGAUACAAAGGGCAGCGACACUGCGAGGUGAAGCCAAUCCCGUAAAAUCGGUCUCAGUCCGGAUUGGAGUCUGCAACUCGACUCCAUGAAGUUGGAAUCGCUAGUAAUCGUGGAUCAGCAUGCCACGGUGAAUACGUUCCCGGGCCUU